CGCUCAAGAGGGUGGAGGAAUGGGGGACUCUCCAAAGUCCAAAUUAUCGUCUUUUUUCUCCUGAGAUAAAGCGUUGUGGGUGUCUUUUCUUUUCCUCUGCAAAAAAAGAGAGAGAUUGACAGAGAGGAAGAAGCUUUUGANGCCCUGCACAGGUGAGAAUCACAGAGUGGGGAUUUAAAGGCAGCAGGAACAGAAGCAGAGGGAUGCAAUGGAGGGUACACUUGCUGUAAAGCUUUGGUGGUCUCUAUAUAACGCCUUUUGCUGCCAAGGGGAGAGGUCAGAGGUGAAGGCUGCAGCAUGCUGGGACCUUGUUCCUUGNUUUAGCAGCCAUUUUCCUUCCUGCUCUUUUUUGGACAACGANGAGGUACUUCCUGGGGGGCUCUUUUUUGUAAAACGACUCCUGAAUGUAGGUUUAUGUAUUUUGAACUCUUCUGCCCGAGCUGUACUCAGGUGACCACCCCUGACUAGCAAUUGCCAACACCACCAUUCUUGCUGCUGCCCUCAGCAAACUUCUCCUUGGGAAACCUGGCCAAGUUCCUCUGCCUUUUGCUAGCCUGGCGGAAAUUUAGAUGUGCCACCUCCAACUUCCGCCACAAAGGUUCGCCUUCCAGCCUGCCUCACUGCAGCAUCUUCAGUACCAAAGUGCCUGGUUCCUGCCCACUGUCCUUGGAAGCUGCGGAAGGUAGGUGCCUGUCUUCUAGGCUUGUGCUGAGCUGCAGUUCAUUAAAAAAUUAACCGCUUGGGGGAGCNUGGGACUGUCAGGUGCCUCAUCCAGCAAUCCUGGGCUCUCUACNACUCCUGUCACCUGCUAAUCUCUGCACCUGCGCGGUGAUGUAAUGCACAAGCGUAGUGUGGCCCCACCCACGGAAAGGGGUAUAAUGACAGUGGCUGUGUUUCCUGCAGAGUUGCAUUCCCUGCACCUUUUACAUGGAGCUCACCUGUUACAGUAGGCUGGCNGGUGCCAUAGAGAGCCCAGANGUGACAAGNGGAACANUCCUGGGCCUCUCUAAGCCAUUCUUCUUAAUGAACUGUGGUUCAGCACAAUCUUACUGUACCUUCUUCCCCUCUUUCUGGUGGGGGCCCAGAGUCCCAGCUGUGAUGCCAUCUC
rnacentral:lncRNA from 1 species